rnacentral:rRNA from 1 species
AAAUUGAAGAGUUUGAUCAUGGCUCAGAUUGAACGCUGGCGGCAGGCCUAACACAUGCAAGUCGAACGGUAACAGGAAGCAGCUUGCUGCUUCGCUGACGAGUGGCGGACGGGUGAGUAAUGUCUGGGAAACUGCCUGAUGGAGGGGGAUAACUACUGGAAACGGUGGCUAAUACCGCAUAAUGUCGCAAGACCAAAGAGGGGGACCUUCGGGCCUCUUGCCAUCAGAUGUGCCCAGAUGGGAUUAGCUAGUUGGUGAGGUAACGGCUCACCAAGGCGACGAUCCCUAGCUGGUCUGAGAGGAUGACCAGCCACACUGGAACUGAGACACGGUCCAGACUCCUACGGGAGGCAGCAGUGGGGAAUAUUGCACAAUGGGCGCAAGCCUGAUGCAGCCAUGCCGCGUGUAUGAAGAAGGCCUUCGGGUUGUAAAGUACUUUCAGCGGGGAGGAAGGUGUUG